CCGCCCCCGGCCGGGCUUCAACCUCCGGCGGGAGUCUGCAACGGGAGCAGUGGAGAAACGGAAGCUCGCGGAUAGAGGGGAGCCCUGGUGGAACCCGGAACUACUAGCGCUCUCUCUCGGAGGCUUCAAAGGUCACACCUGGCACCCUGCGCAAUGAGGACAGACGUGUCAUUGUCUGGAAAGGAAAGCAACUUUGAAGCUGAAGUAAUAGAGGCCUAAGGUUGGAAUGCAUUUCAUGGCAAUCUUGGGAUUCCGUAAAGCCAAAUGUCUAUUUCUGGCCAGUGAGCUGUGAACAGAAGUGAAGCCUCACCUUCACCCACAUGAAACUCCUCAGACCUCUUUUCCCUUUGGUGCUGAGGGUCCUUGUUCUGUCAGUCUAGGCCCCUGAGUGGUUAUGAGGAGUGGAUCCUGCUCCGUCAGCCACAGUGUGC